GCUCUCUGGUGAUUCAUAAUAACUUCUCGAAUCGCACGGCCUUGCGCCGGCGAUGGUUCAUUCAAAUUUCUGCCCUAUCAACUUUCGACGGCUGGGUCUUGGCCAGCCAUGGUGACAACGGGUAACGGAGGGUUAGGGCUCGACCCCGGAGAAGGAGCCUGAGAAACGGCUACUACAUCCAAGGAAGGCAGCAGGCGCGCAAAUUACCCAAUCCCGACUCGGGGAGGUAGUGACAAUAAAUACUGAUACAGGGCUCUUUUGGGUCUUGUAAUUGGAAUGAGUACAAUUUAAAUCCCUUAACGAGGAACAAUUGGAGGGCAAGUCUGGUGCCAGCAGCCGCGGUAAUUCCAGCUCCAAUAGCGUAUAUUAAAGUUGUUGCAGUUAAAAAGCUCGUAGUUGAACCUUGGGCCUGGCUGGCCGGUCCGCCUCACCGCGUGCACUGGUCCGGCCGGGCCUUUCCCUCUGGGGAACCGCAUGCCCUUCACUGGGUGUGUCGGGGAACCAGGACUUUUACUUUGAACAAAUUAGAUCGCUUAAAGAAGGCCUAUGCUCGAAUACAUUAGCAUGGAAUAAUAGAAUAGGACGUGUGGUUCUAUUUUGUUGGUUUCUAGGACCGCCGUAAUGAUUAAUAGGGACAGUCGGGGGCAUCAGUAUUCAAUUGUCAGAGGUGAAAUUCUUGGAUUUAUUGAAGACUAACUACUGCGAAAGCAUUUGCCAAGGAUGUUUUCAUUAAUCAGGAACGAAAGUUAGGGGAUCGAAGACGAUCAGAUACCGUCGUAGUCUUAACCAUAAACUAUGCCGACUAGGGAUCGGACGGUGUUAUAUUUUGACCCGUUCGGCACCUUACACGAAAGUAAAGUUUCUGGAUUCUGGGGGGAGUAUGGUCGCAAGGCUGA
rnacentral:rRNA from 1 species